GUCUAGACGAGGCUGAAAUUUUUGACAUAGGUGCCCUCACGUGGGAUUUACAUUUGGCUUAAGCCCUGAGAGGGUGGUUAAUGAUCUACCAGGUUGACUAAUUGAAGCUGGAAUGAGGAUGGUUUAGGAUUAACCAGGUAAAACUGCUUGAACUCCCUGGUCUGCUGUACAGGACCAAGAUCAAAGGCUCGGGAAACAGAACUGUAGAAAAAGAUGUACUGUUUGCAACUGACUCGGCCUCCCCCUAAUCACAGCCCCUCCCGGGAUCAGGCUAGAGGACACUGCAUUGUUUAAAAAUGUAAAUUGACCUACACUGUGCGAUAUUUAAAGUGAGGGGAGAAGGGACAGACUUGGAAUUGCAUUUGAGCAUUUUUAGAACACGAUUCAGUGACCAGAGUGAUUGCCUACUACCCAGAGUAUCAUGUAAGGGCUGAAAACAUCUUGAAAGAACGUGGACAAGGAAUGAAGGUCAGGGCCACACGGCACCUGCGCUCUUUCCACGGAUGGCACGAGAGGCUUUCAGACACGACACAUCCCAGGGCGGCAUCAAUGCCCAGGAGAGUGAUGCUCAAACUUGGAUCACACCAGAAUCCCCUGGAUGGGUUGUUAAAGCACAGAUCGCUGGCCCUACCCCUGGAGUUUCUGAUUCA